UUGAAUGUAGUGACUUGAUGGGUUGUUGCUGGCUUAAUCAAGCAUGUGCACACUUGUCUUGUUAACUUACUAUUCAUCCACCUGUGCACCUUUUGUAGUCUUUUUGGGGGCUGGGGAAAAAUGGCAGCUUGCCGGCUUGAACCUCCCACUGGAGACUAUGUUUUUUCAUAUACCAUGUAGUAUGUUACAGAAUGUUGUCAAUGGGCACUUGUGGCCUAUAUAAAAUCUAUA
rnacentral:misc_RNA from 1 species